AUUGAACGCUGGCGGUAGGCCUAACUCAUGCAAGUCGAGCGGAGCGGCGGACGGGUGAGUAAUGCCUAGUAAUCUGCCUGGUAGUGGGGGAUAACGUCCGGAAACGGGCGCUGCUACCUCAUACUAUCUGAUGCGCCUAGCUCUGGUUGGCUAGUUGGUGGGGUAAAGGCCUACUAGGGCGAUGAUCAGUAACUGGUCUGAGAGGAUGAUCAGUAACACUGGAACUGAGACACGGUCCAGACUCCUACGGGAGGCAGCAGUGGGGAAUAUUGGACAAUGGGCGAAAGCCUGAUCCAGCCAUGCCGCGUGUGUGAAGAAGGUCUUCGGAUUGUAAAGCACUUUAAGUUGGGAGGCGUUACCAACAGAAUAAGCACCGGCUAACUUCGUGCCAGCAGCCGCGGUAAUUC
rnacentral:rRNA from 1 species